rnacentral:tRNA from 1 species
GGGCCUGUGGCGCAAUGGUAGCGUACUUCUAUGGCAUAGAAGGGGUUACGGGUUCAAAUCCCGUCAGGUCCA